rnacentral:rRNA from 1 species
UACGUAGGGGGCAAGCGUUGUCCGGAUUCAUUGGGCGUAAAGAGCGCGCAGGUGGCGGUGUUGGCCCGGCGUGAAAGCCCCCGGCUCAACCGGGGAGGGUCGUCGGGGACCGCACCGCUUGAGGGCGGUAGGGGCUGGUGGAAUGCCUGGUGUAGUGGUGAAAUGCGUAGAGAUCAGGCGGAACACCCGUAGCGAAGGCGGCCAGCUGGGCCGUCCCUGACACUGAGGCGCGAAGGCGUGGGGAGCGAACGGG